rnacentral:tRNA from 1 species
AUAUUUUAGUAUAAGAUGUAUUAUGAUUUUUGAUAUCAUAGGAGAUAAUUUAAAUUUAUCAAAUGUAAU